UGAACGCUAGCUACAGGCUUAACACAUGCAAGUCGAGGGGCAUCAGGAAGAAAGCUUGCUUUCUUUGCUGGCGACCGGCGCACGGGUGAGUAACACGUAUCCAACCUGCCCUUUACUCGGGGAUAGCCUUUCGAAAGAAAGGUUAAUACCCGAUAGCAUAAUGAUUCCGCAUGGUUUCAUUAUUAAAGGAUUCCGGUAAAGGAUGGGGAUGCGUUCCAUUAGGUUGUUGGUGAGGUAACGGCCCACCAAGCCUUCGAUGGAUAGGGGUUCUGAGAGGAAGGUCCCCCACAUUGGAACUGAGACACGGUCCAAACUCCUACGGGAGGCAGCAGUGAGGAAUAUUGGUCAAUGGGCGCUAGCCUGAACCAGCCAAGUAGCGUGAAGGAUGAAGGCUCUAUGGGUCGUAAACUUCUUUUAUAUAAGAAUAAAGUGCAGUAUGUAUACUGUUUUGUAUGUAUUAUAUGAAUAAGGAUCGGCUAACUCCGUGCCGGCAGCCGCGGUAAUACGGAGGAUCCGAGCGUUAUCCGGAUUUAUUGGGUUUAAAGGGAGCGUAGGUGGACUGGUAAGUCAGUUGUGAAAGUUUACGGCUCAACCGUAAAAUUGCAGUUGAUACUGUCAGUCUUGAGUACAGUAGAGGUGGGCGGAAUUCGUGGUGUAGCGGUGAAAUGCUUAGAUAUCACGAAGAACUCCGAUUGCGAAGGCAGCUCACUGGACUGCAACUGACACUGAUGCUCGAAAGUGUGGGUAUCAAACAGGAUUAGAUACCCUGGUAGUCCACACAGUAAACGAUGAAUACUCGCUGUUUGCGAUAUACAGUAAGCGGCCAAGCGAAAGCAUUAAGUAUUCCACCUGGGGAGUACGCCGGCAACGGUGAAACUCAAAGGAAUUGACGGGGGCCCGCACAAGCGGAGGAACAUGUGGUUUAAUUCGAUGAUACGCGAGGAACCUUACCCGGGCUUAAAUUGCAGUGGAAUGAUGUGGAAACAUGUCAGUGAGCAAUCACCGCUGUGAAGGUGCUGCAUGGUUGUCGUCAGCUCGUGCCGUGAGGUGUCGGCUUAAGUGCCAUAACGAGCGCAACCCUUAUCUUUAGUUACUAACAGGUUAUGCUGAGGACUCUAGAAAGACUGCCGUCGUAAGAUGUGAGGAAGGUGGGGAUGACGUCAAAUCAGCACGGCCCUUACGUCCGGGGCUACACACGUGUUACAAUGGGGGGUACAGAAGGCAGCUAGCGGGUGACCGUAUGCUAAUCCCAAAAUCCUCUCUCAGUUCGGAUCGAAGUCUGCAACCCGACUUCGUGAAGCUGGAUUCGCUAGUAAUCGCGCAUCAGCCACGGCGCGGUGAAUACGUUCCCGGGCCUUGUACACACCGCCCGUCAAGCCAUGGGAGCCGGGGGUACCUGAAGUACGUAACCGCAAGGAUCGUCCUAGGGUAAAACUGGUGACUGGGGCUAAG
rnacentral:rRNA from 1 species